rnacentral:rRNA from 1 species
AUGGGGACGCUAAACUGCGCUGUUGACAUGAGCUCCGGCACGAAGCAGCUACAGCACCAGCCAGCAGCGCCGACUUCACCCACCGCCUCCUUCUCGGAGUCCAACAUCGUCGCCUCGUCAGCGGACCCCGACGCCAUCGACGCCCUAGCGGGCCUGCAAGCGUUGAGGUUCGAUGGAGACAUCGACGGCGAGAUCCAGUCGCCUGACCUCGCCAUGUGGGAGUCGCUCUUCGCCGACCAGAUCGGCGCCGGCGCCGCCUCAGGCGCCGACUUCUUGAUGUCCUCCCCAAGGAGGGACUUCAGCCCUCUGAGGGACUUCAUGGCGUCUUCUCCCAAGAGGGACUACAUGGUGUCUUCUCCCAAGAGGGACUACAUGAUGUCUUCACCCAAGCGGGACUACAUGGUGUCCUCCCCUAAGAGAGAGAUGGUGUCCUCCCCGAGGAGAACCUUCUCCAACCUCUACAACAACAGCACCAGCCAACAGAGCUACAUGCAUGGCACCUUGCACGGCAUGGACACGGGAAGCCCCAGCAAUCUCGCCGGCUACGGCAAGGGGAAGUCGUCGCAGAGCCCGCUCCACAAGGGAUUCGUCAACAACGCCCACAGCAACAGCAGCAAGAGCAACCUCUCGUGCUCCUCGUCCUACGUUAAUAACAGCGAGAAUCUUGCUCUGCCAUCCUUGAACUCCUCCUUCCUGGAGGAAGGCUACCUGGCGUACCAGCUGCCGCCGGAGAAGGAUGCCGGCGGCUCCUCCUCUGCCGGCACCAGUGCUACGCAGCUGCCGACGCUCUCCGAGUGCCUGGCGAUGCCGGAGCCGGUGUACGGAACCAGGGACGAGGCGGCGGUCGGCAGAGGGAUUCCGGUGGGAGGCUUGCAGCCUGAUCACCUCUACUACGCCAGCCAGUUCGGAGCUGCAGAUGGCUUGCCGUUGCAGCACCAAAUGGCAAAGCCUGACCAGUGGGCAGAUUCUUCCUCCUUGCACAGCAUGCUGGGGUCAGUAAUACAGUCAGAUCAGGUUGAGCAGGAGCAGGACAGCGGUCUUCAGCUGGUGCACCUGCUGCUGGCGUGCGCCGACUUCGUGUCCAAGGGCGACCAGCCCUCCGCCCUCCGCCACCUCCACCUCCUCCGCCGCGUCGCCUCGCCGCUCGGCGACUCCAUGCAGCGUGUCGCCUCCUACUUCGCCGACGCGCUCGCCACUCGCCUCUCGGUCUCCUCCGGCACCGCCAUCUCCCCGCGCGGCGCGGGCGCCCCCUAUCCCUUCCCGCCGUCGCCAGAUACCCUAAAGAUUUACCAGAUCCUCUAUCAGGCAUGCCCUUACAUCAAGUUCGCUCACUUCACGGCCAACCAGGCCAUCUUCGAGGCCUUCCACGGCGAGGACCGCGUCCACGUCGUCGACCUCGACAUCCUCCAGGGCUACCAGUGGCCGGCUUUCCUUCAGGCACUCGCGGCGCGGCCGGGUGGCCCGCCGACGCUAAGGCUGACGGGGGUGGGCCACCCGGCCACGGCUGUACGGGAGACCGGGCGGCACCUUGCCUCCCUCGCCGCAUCGCUGCGCGUGCCGUUCGAGUUCCAUGCCGCCGUGGCGGACAAGCUGGAGAGGCUGCGCCCUGCCGCUCUGCAGCGCCGCGUUGGGGAGGCGCUGGCCGUGAACGCGGUGAACCGCAUGCACCGCGUCCCCGGCGCUCAUCUCGGCCCGCUGCUGUCUAUGAUCCGUGACCAGGCUCCCAAGAUCAUGACCCUCGUGGAGCAGGAAGCUGGCCAUAACGGCCCAUACUUCUUGGGCAGGUUCCUGGAGGCACUGCACUACUACUCGGCCAUCUUCGACUCGUUGGACGCGACAUUUCCGGCAGACUCAGCGCCACGGAUGAAGGUCGAGCAAUGCCUCCUGGCUCCUGAGAUUCGCAAUGUGGUGGCGUGCGAGGGCGCCGAGCGGGUGGCACGGCACGAGCGGCUAGACCGGUGGCGCCGCAUCAUGGAGGACCGUGGAUUUGAGGCCGUGCCGCUAAGCCCAGCGGCCGUCGGCCAGAGCCAGGUCCUCCUAGGACUUUACGGCGCCGGUGACGGGUACCGGCUCAAUGAGGACAAAGGGUGCCUCCUCCUCGGCUGGCAGGAUCGUGCCAUCAUCGGCGCAUCAGCGUGGCGGUGCUGA